rnacentral:rRNA from 1 species
UNUUGUGAAAUCUAACGGCUCAACCGUUAAACUGCUUGGGAAACUGAUAAUCUAGAGUAAGGGAGAGGCAGAUGGAAUUCUUGGUGUAGGGGUAAAAUCNGUAGAUAUCAAGAAGAAUACCUAUUGCGAAGGCGAUCUGCUGGAACUUAACUGACGCUAAUGCGUGAAAGCGUGGGGAGCAAACAGGAUUAGAUACCCUGGUAGUCCACGCCCUAAACGAUGUAUACCGGUUGUUGCUGUGCUAGUCACGGCAGUAAUCCACCUAACGGAUUAAGUAUACCGCCUGGGGAGUACGGUCGCAAGAUUAAAACUCAAAGGAAUAGACGGGGACCCGCACAAGCGGUGGAGCAUGUGGUUUAAUUCGAAGAUACGCGAAGAACCUUACCCGGACUUGAUAUCUAACAAAUCAUCCAGAGAUGGAAGAGUGUCUGCUUGCAGAAAUGUUAAGACAGGUGCUGCACGGCUGUCGUCAGCUCGUGUCGUGAGAUGUUGGGUUAAGUCCCGCAACGAGCGCAACCCACGUCAUUAGUUGCUAACGGUUCGGCCGAGCACUCUAAUGAGACUGCCUUCGUAAGGAGGAGGAAGGUGUGGACGACGUCAAGUCAUCAUGGCCCUUAUGUCCGGGGCGACACACGUGCUACAAUGGCAUAUACAAUAAGACGCAAUAUCGUAAGAUGGAGCAAAUCUAAAAAAUAUGUCCCAGUUCGGAUUGGAGUCUGCAACUCGACUCCAUGAAGCCGGAAUCGCUAGUAAUCGUAGAUCAGCCAUGCUACGGUGAAUACGUUCCCGGGUCUUGUACUCACCGCCCGUCACACCAUGGGAGUUGAUUUCACUCG